AGGGCAACAGGUUGGGAGAGACUGGCUCAAGAAGUCUGUCUCUUCUGGGUUAGAGCAGGGUCAGUGUUCUACUUAUCCCUUUUCUAAUUAUUCCUGUUGCAGCAGUGGAUGUAAUGGGAAAAGAAGCAUGAAUUGGAAACCUCUCAGUCUUAUCCACACAGAGUAUCAUUCCCUGUCAUUGACAAUGCUGGCUGUGGCCUACUGCAGAACUGCCUCUCAUUGCUCCAGAGUAUCAUCAGCUGCCUGCUGACUUUAUGUUGUGCAAGAAUAUGUUAUUGCAUGCACGUGUGAAUGAUACCCACACAUUCCAAAAGGAAUUUAUGGACCCAUCACAGCCUCUAUUUUUGUAGGACUGUUCUUUAUUUCAAAAUAUUAUGGCUCCUGAUUGGACAUAGGAGCUUCUCUUCUUUUUCCAGAGACUGCAGCUCUGGGACAGCUGUUUUCUUGGAAUUUUGCAUUUGGCAAACUCUACUUUAAAAGGCCUUACUGGCUUACAGAAGCUGUGUCGGUUUCCCCUUUGAUAAAGGAUUUGGCUGCAGCCCUGGACUCAGUUACUCACUUAGUCCCAAUGAACUCAGUAGGCUUAACCAGGCAUAGCGGACUGCAGGAUUACAUUAUUUGUCACCUAUCUGGAUGCGUAGAAGCAUUAUGAGCUUUUAAUUCAAGUUCAUCUUUAUAAGGAAGCUUUAUGGGAUCUGCCAGAUGAGAUACCAACUGCAUGCUUAGUGACUACAUUAGAAUUUUUACAAUAAACAGUUGCAGAUUACCCAAGGGGAUGUAACCAGAUUCAAAUAAUGUCCAAGACACGGUAUUUUUAGUUUUAGUUUUUUGCUGACGCAUUUCCAAUUAAUGUUCCAUUACUUUUGCUGGAGGCAUGCAAGUUUUUGCAUACAAGGCACAAAGGAGGCAGUAGCUUUGGCGUCGUUAAAGUCAAUAGGCUGUUUUCUCCCAAGUUACUUCCAUCGUCCAUUCGUGUGUAUCUGUUUCUAUAACGGACAAUAGAACACUCCGAUUUUCACACUUGACCUCCACCUUCCCUUUAAAACAGACCUAUGAUUAAGUAGAGACCACUUUUGUAUCUCUUUUGUAAACUUUGUGAGGGCUGAAGGUGAGCUCACUGCAUUAAUUUUACUGUAGGUUUUCUCCCCAGAAUUGUUUUAUCUCCAGGUUUCAAAAUCUUGAUUAUGAUGGUAGGGCUUCUGUCACAUUUUCUAACGUUCCUUUCGCACUGCAGUAACUACUGUGUUAUGGAACUGUGGCUUUUUGACAGAUAAACCAGCAUGUUGCACUACAUUGCAUUCACACCAAUAGACAUGGUGUGACACAACAAAUGCCAUUGGACAGUGUUGCUACUCUGUCACCUUGCCGGACACGUGUGCUUCUCUGUUCCUCCAUGAUUCACCCAUGAAAAUGGCAGGAAAGAACUGUAGGCUGGUAUAUACCACUCCACAUUUUGUCACUUUACUCCAGUGAUUUCCUGGGUUAAUGGGGCUGCAAAUUGAUGUUUUGCGCUGGAAGCAAUUAACACAGAAAUGAGUACUAAAUUUCCACUAGAUUCCACUAGCUUUCUGGAAUUGGUUUUUACGUUGUGUGAAAGCUCAAAUAUAAUGCAGGUAUUAAGUUUACGAAACAUUGCAGAAAUGGUGUGUGAAUGCAACCUCUGAACCAUUCUAGGUAGGUGUCAUCAGGGGUAACCAUUCAGAGAGCACAACUUCUGAGCCUUGGUAGUGUGAAGAAGUCCUGACCAAAAUUAAUGCAAAAGGACAAAAACAUUGAUCUGAUUCUUAAUAUUUUUUUGAUGUUGGAAACAAAGAAGAAGCCCACUUUGCAAUGCGUAACAUGCAAUUAUUCUAACUGUGAGAGAAAGCACUUUGGGUUGUUGAUUAGAUUUUCACAUUAGAUAGAAGCCUGCUCUUCUCCUUGUCACCUAUCAGUUCUGUCAUAUUCUACAAAGGAUGUGGUGCCUUUGUUCUGUUGCUUAUGAAUCUGUUUGGUAGAUUAAUCUCUCCUAUGUGCUCUGCAUUUAAAGCAUGUUUUCAGCUUGGUUCUCCCUUGCAUUUUCUGCUAUUGUCCAGAGGUGGUGCUGAGUGCUCAGGUACUACAUUGUUUAAAAUGGUCAAGAACAGGAAGAAGAAUCUUCAUUCUCUCUUUAGUGAUCAUUGCACCCUACAAGUGGUAAGGAAAAGGGGGGGGUGACACUUUAAAAAAUGGAAAUACAAACCAGUAUGUUUAAUAAGCACUGUGCACUGAAUGAGUUUCUAAGACAAAGGCUGAUAUUCCAUGUGCACUCAUCUGGGGAGUGCUGUUUUAAAUUCUUAUUUUCUUAGUAUGUCCCUUUUUUUGCAUUGUUUGAAUUCUUCUUUUAUCUUGCUGCAUCCCCCGCAUCUGCUUUAAAUUAUUACUGUAUAUAAGAACAUUAAAAGAUCCUUGCCUGAUCAGACCAAAGGCCUAUCUAGUAGAAAUGUGCACCAACCACAAUAUUCAGUUUCAACUCAGAGCUUCAAAAAACAACACAGUUGGACUUGAUUGUUCAAAUCCGCUUUGUUUUCCCCAUCCACAUUCACUAUUGGGAAGUUUUAAAAUGCUUAUAACUUUUUUUAUUUGACAGAAGUGGAUAAAAUUUGCAAGCAUGGUAGCCCCUCCAGAUUUGUGCAAAUUACAAGUAAAUAAUUCUAGGGACUUUUGUGCUGAACAACUCUAAAAUGUGAUCACCACUCUUCUGCUGCAGAAGGGAACCAUCUCUAACAUUUUUUUUGCAGAACUGGGUGAAAUUUGCAUGCAAGGCCAUCCCUCUGAGGGCAUAAAUUUGAGAAGGACUCCUUCACUUCCUGAGUAAUCAUUCCUGCUCUUUAAAAGUGAGAUCAGUCAGUUGUGCAUGAGUGCUUCUUCACCUUUCCCCAUUCUGACAUCUUACCUCCGCUUAGAGACAUAAAACUUAACCUUGCAGUGCUGUUCCCUGCAACUGGUAUUGUAGAACACUGGCCAAUCCCUCUGAUUACAACGCAGACAACAGCCUUAUUCCUCUGUGUCCUUGCCCCACUCUGUAUUUGCUCUCCUCUUCUCUCCGUUAGCCCACCCCGGUGUUAUGGAAAGAUUAGAGACAUUGCUUUUGCUUUCAAAAAUGACUGCAGCAUUUUUCAAAAUAUCUGGAUGACUAAGGUGCCACUAAGUGAUUCAGGGCUCUGCACUUUGAAUCAUGUUGCCUUGUAGAGAUUCCAGUACAGCUGACACGACUAGUACCCAUUGCUUGCUUUAUCUUCCAUGAAUUUGUCUAAACCUCAUAGAUAGAUGAUAGAUAGAUAGAUGGAUAGAUAGAUAGAUGAUAGAUAUAGUUUGACCCUUAAUUUUUAUUCAGCCUCAGAAUUAAUGUACUUUUUUUGAAUUUGUCUAAACCUCUUUUAAAGUUAUCCAGGUAAUAGAAAAGUAGGAUAUAAAUUAUUAACUAUUCACUUGUCAGGGACUGGACUGAAGAGGAGGAGGAAUGGUGGAAGUCACCCUCCCCUUCUCCGGUAACUCUCAGAGAAAAGGGAGGCAGUCUCAAAUUACAGCAGAGCUUUGAGGAACAUAAUAGCUCAGAGACAGGUGAAGAGCAGAGUUAUGAGGUGUUAGGAGGAGGAGGAGGGGAGGCAGAGCAGCUAGCUGACAUGUCACUGAACAGCAUAACUGACCCUCCUUCUCCCAAAAUGCGGCGUUCAUUAUGUGUGCAAGAACAAAGGGCACAGAGGCAGUUGACCAUGGACGGAAGCCAUAGAGGAAGGUGUUGUUGCUAAGAGUGAAGGGGGAGGAGCUCAGUGUGAACAAUGCCAUCAGUGAGGAAUGACAGGAUUAUUUGUCUUUCACUGUGAUACUGAAAUAAAUAAUAAGUAAGAACUUUCUUGUUUCCUCCCUGCUUCUUGGUGCCAUCAGGGGAGGGAAAGAAUUCUUCACACCUGAUAUCACCUAACUUGGGGAAAAGCCUCAUUGAAUGUGUGAAGACUUUUGAAUAAACAUGCACAACAUCAUGUUUCACAGUUUCAAUUGUAUUAAAACAAAGACAGCAGCUUGAAAGGAGGGAUAGACAGAGACCUGAUUGCAUUAGAAUGAUCAUGUUCUCUUUGGUGUUUUCUUCUAUCAUUCUUCCCCCCCACCUCCCCUCAAAAACCCAGACACCUUUCAGGAUUGGGAUGUGGUAUCACAGUGGCUCAAGAGUAUCUUGAUGUCAAAGGUAGAGUGAUAGCCAACUAAUUCAUACCCAAAUGAGACCCACUGAAAUAAAGUCUACUUUCAGUGGGUCUACUUUAUGAUUGAUUAACACUGGAUAUCACACAUAGUUUCUGACUUCUUACAAUGAAUGACUACUGAUUGAUUAUUCUUGUUGGUGGUGGAAAAUCACACUGUGUAUAUGCUCAGAAGUCCUGUUUGGGAGUUCAGUUUUGCAUUUUAAAAAAUCAGACUGUGACAUUACCACAGCAGAUUUGAAGUGAAGGCAUGUGGCAAAAUAUGUUCAGAGAAGGAGAAACACUGUGUGGGUUUAAUCAGGGGAAAAAUCCAUGGAGAUAAUUGUCAUAAUUAGUUAUACUGAUUUAGAUAUAACUCUGAUUAUAAUGAGCUACAUUGUGUCAGUCAGCACAUAGCUGGCUGUGCUGUUUUCUUGGGAAUUCUUGAAAUAAGAUACCUCAGUCUGAAUCCUCCCCUCCCUUUUCAUUUCAUAUGAAAAUCCAUCAUGUUAUGUGAGCAAAUCCUUAGCACAAUAAAGGGAUCACCAUUUCUUUCAGAUGUCUCUUCUAUGGAAGAAGAUACUCAACAUGCAUCUGGAGCUCAGAUUAUAUUUAAAAUGCUCACCUCAUUUUGGGUACUCUAAGGAUGGAUUACCAAGAAAUAGUCCAUCUGGAGCAAUCCUCAAGCACUAUUACUGGCAAUUAAGAAUUGUAUACUGUAGAUGUAAAUAAAUGGAAUAUUUGUAUCAUGG
rnacentral:lncRNA from 1 species